rnacentral:tRNA from 1 species
GGGCGACUAGCUCAGCUGGUUAGAGCGCUACACUGAUAAUGUAGAGGUCGCAAGUUCAAGUCUUGCGUCGCCCACCA